rnacentral:rRNA from 1 species
AUUGAACGCUGGCGGCAUGCCUUACACAUGCAAGUCGAACGGCAGCACGGGAGCAAUCCUGGUGGCGAGUGGCGAACGGGUGAGUAAUAUAUCGGAACGUGCCCAGUCGUGGGGGAUAACGUAGCGAAAGCUACGCUAAUACCGCAUACGAUCUAUGGAUGAAAGCGGGGGAUCGCAAGACCUCGCGCGAUUGGAGCGGCCGAUAUCAGAUUAGGUAGUUGGUGAGGUAAAGGCUCACCAAGCCGACGAUCUGUAGCUGGUCUGAGAGGACGGACAGCCACACUGGGACGGGGACGCGGCGCAGUCUCCUACGGGAGGCAGCGGUGGGGAAUUUUGGACAAUGGGCGGAAGCCUGAUCCAGCAAUGCCGCGUGCAGGUUGAAGGCCUUCGGGUUGUAAACUGCUUUUGUACGGAACGAAACGGCGAGCUCUAAUACAGUUUGCUAAUGUCGGUACCGUAAGAAUAAGCACCGGCUAACUACGUGCCAGCCGCCGCUGUAA